rnacentral:tRNA from 1 species
GCAGUGGAGGUUCAGUGGUAGAAUUCUCACCUCCCAUGCAAGAAACCUGGGUUCGAUUCCCAGCCAAGGUA